ACGCACGCUGGCGGCGUGCUUAACCCAUGCCAGUCGAACGGAAAGGCCCUGCUUUUGUGGGGUGCUCGAGUGGCGAACGGGUGAGUAACACGUGAGUAACCUGCCCUUGACUUUGGGAUAACUUCAGGAAACUGGGGCUAAUACCGGAUAGGAGCUCCUGCUGCAUGGUGGGGGUUGGAAAGUUUCGGCGGUUGGGGAUGGACUCGCGGCUUAUCAGCUUGUUGGUGGGGUAGUGGCUUACCAAGGCUUUGACGGGUAGCCGGCCUGAGAGGGUGACCGGCCACAUUGGGACUGAGAUACGGCCCAGACUCCUACGGGAGGCAGCAGUGGGGAAUAUUGCACAAUGGGCGGAAGCCUGAUGCGGCAACGCCGCGUGCGGGAUGACGGCCUUCGGGUUGUAAACCGCUUUCGCCUGUGACGAAGCGUGAGUGACGGUAAUGGGUAAAGAAGCACCGGCUAACUACGUG
rnacentral:rRNA from 1 species